rnacentral:rRNA from 1 species
UCGAGAAUUUUUCGCAAUGGGGGCAACCCUGACGGAGCGACGCCGCGUGGAGGAUGAAGGUCUUCGGAUUGUAAACUCCUGUCAUUGGUGAACAAAGUACUGAGGUUAACUGCCUUGGUGCCUGCUAGUAGCCGAAGAGGAAGGGACGGCUAACUCUGUGCCAGCAGCCGCGGUAAUACAGAGGUCCCGAGCGUUGUUCGGAUUCAUUGGGCGUAAAGGGUGCGUAGGCGGCGGGGUAAGUUUGAUGUGAAAUUCCGGGGCUCAACCCUGGCAUGGCAUUGAAUACUACCUUGCUAGAGUACCGGAGAGGAAACUGGAAUUUACGGUGUAGCAGUGAAAUGCGUAGAGAUCGUAAGGAAGACCAGUGGCGAAGGCGAGUUUCUGGACGGUAACUGACGCUGAGGCACGAAGGCCAGGGGAGCAAACGG